AUGAUGCCACGUAGAUAAGUCGCUUGAUCUCGCGUCGACACGUGUCCAAGGAGACCGAAGCGCUGCGUUUCAUUAACGCGUUCCGUGAUGGGCUUUCUCCGUCUGAUGCAUGUUGGGCUCUGAGUAAUGAUGUUGCGUCCGGCCCAGAGGAGAGGUACUUCGCGUUGUAACCCUAACUGCUCGAUCGAGAACUGCGUAUCGUCUUUCCUUUCUUGCGGCGGCGACGCCUGAGUUUCUUUCACUGGUUGAAACAGCCGGAACCGUUACUCCGUCUUUAUUGCAAUUGAAUCCAUCGCCCACUAUGAGUCUUCAAAGCGCCGUUCUUAUCUCCUGUGGAUCUGUAUACAUAUGUGAGUACUUCUCGCUUCGAACUCAUCCUCUUUUCUAUCUCUUGCAAUAUUCUGAUUCGUGUUGUUAUGACUAUGUCAAGAGUUUUUCUCUCCGACUUGAAUACUAGAAAGUGCUCUUCCAGAUUGAUGUCGGUUUAUUCAAGUAGCAUACUAAUAUCAGUUCGGUGAAGAGCACCGUGAGUGACCAUAAAAAUCGUGUCAUGGUGACAAUCAAAAUGGAAAAUGAUGAGUAUGUUACUCUUAGUCUAUUCGACUGUCAAGCCAUUUCGUUCCACAAGAAGCUUGAAAGCAUGCGCGAUGAUCCAAAGGUGGUUGUUGACACGAACAUUAAUCCGAAGAUGAUUGGAGGUCGUUUGUUCCUGAACGCAAUAUCAUGAACGCAUGUUUAUUUUGAUAAGGAAACCAAUGCAGGAGAAUCUGUCUUCUAUAGAUUGGUGGCUAGGGACACUGGUCUUCCACCUGCUGCACCACUGCUAAGGUCAUAUGAAAGGUCGAGUCUAUAACAAUUGUUGAGCUCAACAAUUUUGUCAUCACUGCUCCGUCACAGGAAAUUGAUUUCUUAUGCACUGGGAGGGUGUCGAGCGUUGACACGGACAAGGGGUUGGUGUUAUGUUGCAUGCUGAUAUGGAAGACAAGACUUACACUUUCCAAAUUAGAGUCACAUCGUAUAACUUCACCGUCAAUUAUCAGUCAUUUACCGUGCCUCGCAUCAUCAAUGAGAUUGAGUGUGUUCCAGCCCCUGACUUUGACGAUAAUGUACGUGAUGGCGAUGAUGAUGACGAUAAGCCAGAGUCAAGCAAGGAGAAGGAAAGAUUGCAUCCGGCAAUGGCGUUUGUGAGACAUCAAAAAAUACUGGAAAGGAGCCAGUUCGUAAUGCGCAUAAGAAGGUGCGUGUUGCUUGAGAUGGAGUAUCGAUAGUUAUGUUUUCAUGCUCUUAGUUUUAAUAAUGUUUUUGGAUUUUUACUUAUUUGGCUUCUUAUCUAUCUAUGUUGUGGACUUCUCCUUUUUUCCCUUUUCUACGUCUCUUCCUUUGUGGCUUUAUGAGUUUCAAUGAUGACAGUUUUCGUAUUAUGUGUCUUUCUAUAUAACUCAAAAACGUAUUUUGGGAAUCUUAUGAUUUGGUGGUUAGUUAUUUCAGAGUAA